rnacentral:rRNA from 1 species
AUGGCUGUCGUCAGCUCGUGUCGUGAGAUGUUGGGUUAAGUCCCGCAACGAGCGCAACCCUCGGCCUUAGUUGCCAUCAUUCAGUUGGGCACUCUAAGGCGACUGCCGGUGAUAAGCCGGAGGAAGGUGGGGAUGACGUCAAGUCCUCAUGGCCCUUACGGGCUGGGCUACACACGUGCUACAAUGGCGGUGACAGAGGGAUGCGAGGGCGCGAGCCUUGGCAAAUCUCAAAAAGCCGUCUCAGUUCGGAUUGGGGUCUGCAACUCGACCCCAUGAAGUUGGAAUCGCUAGUAAUCGCGGAUCAGCACGCCGCGGUGAAUACGUUCCCGGGCCUUGUACACACCGCCCGU